ACCUACGGGGCGCAGCAGUAGGGAAUCUUCCACAAUGGGCGAAAGCCUGAUGGAGCAACGCCGCGUGGGUGAAGAAGGUCUUCGGAUCGUAAAACCCCGUUGUUAGAGAAGAAAGUGCGUGAGAGUAGCUGUUCACGUUUCGACGGUAUCUAACCAGAAAGCCACGGCUAACUACGUGCCAGCAGCCGCGGUAAUACGUAGGUGGCAAGCGUUAUCCGGAUUUAUUGGGCGUAAAGGGAACGCAGGCGGUCUUUUAAGUCUGAUGUGAAAGCCUUUGGCUUAACCGGAGUAGUGCAUUGGAAACU
rnacentral:rRNA from 1 species